AGUGGGGAAUAUUGCACAAUGGGCGCAAGCCUGAUGCAGCCAUGCCGCGUGUAUGAAGAAGGCCUUCGGGUUGUAAAGUACUUUCAGCAGUGAGGAAGGAGGUGUCGUUAAUAGCGGUAUCUUUUGACGUUAGCUGCAGAAGAAGCACCGGCUAACUCCGUGCCAGCAGCCGCGGUAAUACGGAGGGUGCGAGCGUUAAUCGGAAUUACUGGGCGUAAAGCGCAUGCAGGUGGUUUGUUAAGUCAGAUGUGAAAGCCCGGGGCUCAACCUCGGAAUUGCAUUUGAAACUGGCAGGCUAGAGUACUGUAGAGGGGGGUAGAAUUUCAGGUGUAGCGGUGAAAUGCGUAGAGAUCUGAAGGAAUACCGGUGGCGAAGGCGGCCCCCUGGACAGAUACUGACACUCAGAUGCGAAAGCGUGGGGAGCAAACAGGAUUAGAUACCCUGGUAGUCCACGCCGUAAACGAUGUCUACUUGGAGGUUGUGGCCUUGAGCCGUGGCUUUCGGAGCUAACGCGUUAAGUAGACCGCCUGGGGAGUACGGUCGCAAGAUUA
rnacentral:rRNA from 1 species